rnacentral:rRNA from 1 species
UACGUAGGGUGCGAGCGUUGUCCGGAAUUAUUGGGCGUAAAGAGCUCGUAGGCGGUCUGUCGCGUCGAUCGUGAAAACUUGGGGCUUAACCCUGAGCUUGCGGUCGAUACGGGCAUGACUGGAGUUCGGCAGGGGAGACUGGAAUUCCUGGUGUAGCAGUGAAAUGCGUAGAUAUCAGGAGGAAUACCGAUGGCGAAGGCAGGUCUCUGGGCUAUAACUGACGCUCAUGCACGAAAGCGUGGGGAGCAAACAGG